rnacentral:rRNA from 1 species
GAUGAACGCUAGCGGCAGGCUUAAUACAUGCAAGUCGUGGGGCAGCAGGGGUGUAGCAAUACAUCUGCUGGCGACCGGCAAACGGGUGCGUAACACGUACGCAACCUUCCCGUUACUGUGGCAUAGCCCAGGGAAACUUGGAUUAAUACCACAUAUUAUAUUGAGGGGGCAUCCCUUUGAUAUCAAAGCUUCGGCGGUAACGGAUGGGCGUGCGGUUGAUUAGGUAGUUGGCGGGGUAACGGCCCACCAAGCCUACGAUCAGUAGCUGAUGUGAGAGCAUGAUCAGCCACACGGGCACUGAGACACGGGCCCGACUCCUACGGGAGGCAGCAGUAAGGAAUAUUGGGCAAUGGACGAAAGUCUGACCCAGCCAUGCCGCGUGAAGGAUUAAGGUCCUCUGGAUUGUAAACUUCUUUUCUCUGGGGCGAAAACCAGCUAUUCUUAGCUAUUUGACAGUACCAGAGGAAUAAGCACCGGCUAACUCCGUGCCAGCCGCCGCAGUAACAC